rnacentral:lncRNA from 1 species
AUUCAGUCAGGUGGGAAAUUCAAAAUUCUUCAUGUGAGAACUCACAUUUUCACCAUGGCUCCUACGCUCCACAACUACCUGUUUAUUCAGCAAAUAGUCCUCCCUAAAGGGGAAAGUGGAGUUUGAAGACGAGGGACUGCAGAACUGUUCUAUUGUCAUCAGAGGAGUGUCAAGAGGAGAUGAGUCCUGCUACAAGUGUCUGUUUAACACCUUUCCAGAUGGACCAAUCAGUGGAAGGACCUGCCUCCAUGUAAAUGAGCUGUAUGGACCCUCACUCCUCAUCACACAAACCAACAACAGUCACACCACUCUGUCCUGUUCUGCUACUGGACAACCUACUCCUAUAGUAACCUGGGACAACACAGAAAUUCUAGAAAAUUCCACAAUGGUCAAUGUCACCCAUCUCAAUGGUACUGUCACAGUCAUCAUAACUUUCACGCUGGCAGCAUUCAGUCUACCUGACAAAGACACCAGGGUUCUCUGUGUGGUGUCACUGUUCUCUGGAGGUGUCACCAAGAACGUAUCCAUGGUUAUUCCAGCUAGAACUCAAGCUUCAUUUCCUGGUGUACCUGAGGUCACUGAUGGUGACAGGAUCAGUGUUAAGCCAACAGGGAUUGGUGCAGUAAUGGGUUCACUGUGUUUCAUUGCUGUGUGCUGUGGAGCUGCUGUGGCACUGUGGUGCAAACAGAGAAAUACAAUGUGAAGGAAGUCAGGAGAACAGGAAGAACCAUCAACACUCAACCCUCAACAUGAUGACCCUGAAAUCUAGAAGUCUAAUCUAACAGUAAGACACAUUGUAAUUAACAG